AAGUAAAUUGACCUUCGCCUGCACUCAAGGUCGUCUCCCUCUCCUUCCAUCUCCUGUACCAGCACAGCCGCCGCCGCGAGCUAGAGUUACGGCCCAGCGAGCUCAAGAACCAAUCUCCCUCCCUCAAGAUCUUCACUGAAUCCAAUCGCCGCUCUCUCCCUCUUCUGUACCAAUGCGCCAGCUGCCAGGCGAUUUUGGCAACAGCCUACCACCGGAACAUCUGAAGAGUGCCCCGAUUUCGCCUUUGGCAGUGGUCGCUCGUUGUGAGCGCAUCGGCGACUCAACCUACCACCGCCACCGCCGUCAGCAGCACUAACCAUCUGCAGCAGCUGAAGGAUCUUGAUUCAGGGCCAUCUUGCCCGCUCCAACAAUAUUUUUGCCUUUGAUAAGCAUGGAAAAAAUGCAAGCAUCGCCUUCCUUCGCAUCUUCACCAGGCUUCAAACCAAUUAGCUGGAGGCAUGAACUAGGAGGUCAAAGAAUCAGCCCAUGCUGAUGAAUUAUGGCUGGGUAAUCUUCAUAGGAGUCAUCUUCAUGUCUCCCAAGAUGACAGAUGAUGAAACUGAUAAUUUCACCUCUUGUGCUAGUCCCGAUCUGGUUAUCCAGGCUUUGUUUUCUUUGGCACCAUGUAAUCAGCGAGAAUGUACAUUUGUUAGAAAAAAUAUGGCAAGCUUUUUGUACUUAAAUGUGUGGUUGUCAUACAAUUUAUGUGAAUGCUUGUGAUGCAUGGAAGAAUCUAAAGAAAAUGUGUUCAGAGAUCUCU